rnacentral:rRNA from 1 species
GAUGAACGCUGGCGGUCUGCUUAACACAUGCAAGUCGAACGAACUCUUCGGAGUGAGUGGCGGACGGGUGAGUAACGCGUGAGAAUCUGCCUGUGGGUCGGGGACAACCACUGGAAACGGUGGCUAAUACCGGAUGAGCCGAAAGGUAAAAGAUUUAUUGCCCACAGAUGAGCUCGCGUCUGAUUAGCUAGUUGGUAAGGUAAAAGCGUACCAAGGCGACGAUCAGUAGCUGGUCUGAGAGGAUGAGCAGCCACACUGGGACUGAGACACGGCCCAGACUCCUACGGGAGGCAGCAGUGGGAAUAUUGCACAAUGGGGGAAACCCUGAUGCAGCGACGCCGCGUGAAGGAAGAAGGUUUUCGGAUCGUAAACUUCUAUCAGCAGGGAAGAUAGUGACAGUACCUGACUAAGAAGCCCCGG